GUCUGGGUGACUCAGUCGGUUGAGCGGCUGACUUUGACUCAGGUCAUGAUCUCCCAGCUUGUGGGUUCGAGCCCCACGCCAGGCU
rnacentral:tRNA from 1 species